GGACUACACGGGUUUCUAAUCCUGUUUGAUACCCACGCUUUCGUGCCUCAGCGUCAGUUACAGUUUAGUAAGCUGCCUUCGCAAUCGGUGUUCUGUGGUAUAUCUAUGCAUUUCACCGCUACACACCACAUUCCGCCUACCUCAAAUGUACUCAAGACUAACAGUAUCAACGGCAAUUCUACAGUUAAGCUGCAGGAUUUCACCACUGACUUACUAGUCCGCCUACGCACCCUUUAAACCCAAUAAAUCCGGAUAACGCUCGGAUCCUCCGUAUUACCGCGGCGGCUGGCAC
rnacentral:misc_RNA from 1 species